GCACAUUCGGAGCUCCUCGGCCAUUUUUUUAAAAAACAACGUUGUUUUCGAUUAAAUGUCCGAGAAGUUCCGAAUGGGUCAGGCAAAGACCAAUAAUGGCGGCGCCCUGUGAACACAACAACAACGACACUAUAAGAUUUCACAAGUUUCCUGUUCUGAUGUUGGAAGGCGUUUCCUGCUCAUUGACAUACAUUAGGACAAAAAUGGUGGUGCCCAAUGGCCACUUUAAGACCAAGAGAUCAACCUAGGGACCAAAUCGCUGGAAUGGGAUAGUUUUGAUACCUCGUCUGGCCAAAACUGUAGUCCAAAUACCAGUUUACGUGUGCCAAGUUCCGAGAGCUCAGUCAGUGAGGCUAUGACCAUUCCGAUCCAGGAUAAAAUGUAAGAUGACCUUCGCAACUGAUGUGGCCGAGCAGACACAAAGACACAGACUCAAUCUAUUUAUCUUACAAUGUAAAAAUUGUUGUCAAUAAAAAGCCUUAAUCCUU